GACGAACGCUGACGGCGUGCUUUAGACAUGCAAGUCGAACGAGAAAGCCCUUCGGGGUUAGUAAAGUGGCGAACGGGUGAGUAACACGUGGGCAAUCUGCCCUUCGUUGGGGGACAACCGGGGGAAACCCCGGCUAAUACCCCGUAAGCUUGUCGGGUCGCAUGGCCCGACAAGGAGAGGUAGCUUCGGCCAUCCGGCGAAGGAGGAGCCCGCGGUACAUUAGCUAGUUGGUGAGGUAAAGGCCCACCAAGGCGACGAUGUAUAGCUGGUCUGAGAGGAUGAUCAGCCACACUGGGACUGAGACACGGCCCAGACUCCUACGGGAGGCAGCAGUCGGGAAUCUUGCACAAUGGGCGAAAGCCUGAUGCAGCAACGCCGUGUGAGCGACGAAGGCCCUAGGGUCGUAAAGCUCUGUUGUUAGGGACGAAGGGCGAAGGGUUAAUAGCCCUUAGCCUGACGGUACCUUUCGAGGAAGCCCCGGCUAACUACGUGCCAGCCGCCGCAGUAAUAC
rnacentral:rRNA from 1 species